CUCUGGGUGGUGCAAAUGGUUAACACGUUCAGCUGCUAACUGAAAGGUUGGAGGUUCAAGAUCCCCCACAGG
rnacentral:tRNA from 1 species